UGAGUGUGAUGUUGAAAGAGGAGAUAGCUUGUUGAGCAAGUGCACAAGUAGAAAUGUUAAUGGCUCAAAUGUCGGGAGGAAGGGUAGUUUAGUUAGAGGUAGUAGUUCUGAUUCGCUUGAACAUAUUGAAAGUUUGCAGGCGUCAACACGGGGUUCUACCGCAAAUUUGUCUUCUUCGCCAACUUUGAGUUGGGAUGAUGGAGUUUUGCGAAGCUCUUUCUCUGAAGCUGAAGAGAGAACUAGUAGAGCUAUUUGUGAGCAAAUGAAGUCAUUCCAUGGAAGUCAGUUGGGAGAUGAUGCCUCUAGUCGUAUAUAUGAAACUGUACGAUCUGAAGUGAGACGAGCUAUUGCUGACAUCCAAAAUGAUCUUGAAAGUGCUGUCCGAAGGAGUAAUGCGACAGCUAUUGCAGCCACCAAUGUAACUGACAUUCCUCCUGACUUGGUCAACCCAAGUGCAGUUGAAUUAGUUUUGGACAUCAGAAGAGAAUAUGCCAAUAAGCUUGAGCAGUCCCAAGAACGGGCUAGGAAACUUCGAGCUGACCUGGCUGUUGAGGAGCACCGUGGUUUAGAGCUGAAUAGAAUCCUUAGGGAAGUACUUCCAGAUCCCAAGAUCUCGCAUGUGCAAAAGUCUCGUUCAGGAAGAAAGUCUAGCAUUGAAAGAAGGAAGAUGUCAAAAAGAUUAACAGAAGAAGCUAUGGCUUAUUUUGAUGAAUGCGUCUCACUUUCAACUUUUGAUAGCUCUGAUUUUUCUUCGCAAGAGGACCCGCCAAUCAGCUUAGUUGGCAUUAGUACCCCUGCUGGUUAUCUUACAUCCGUUUCCCAAGCCAACAAUAGCAUUGCAGCCAACCACUGCGUAGACAAUUGCCCUAAUGAUAAACAGGAAUGGGGCACGUCUACCAGCCGCAGUAAGGACUGCACUCCUCAUGAAAGUUCAGAAGUGCGACGGGGCAGCCAAAGGUUUCAGUUUUCUAUUGCUCGCAAUCAAAAUGUCACAUUUGAAUUUCAGAAUGACAUUGGGAAGUAUGUCAAAAAUUUUCAGAGACAAAAUGAAAGAGUUGAUAUCAAUUCACAAAUUUUAAGAUCAAAUCAGAGUGAUCUGGAGGAAUACAAUUUGCUGGCCUCAUCACAAAGCUUGCUGUUUGACGCGUUGUUUUUUAGGAACAAAAUCGAGUCUGGUUGUAUGCUAUUAUGCGGUGGAGGCAUGACAUGUUCCUUUGCCUUUUUAAUCUAAAUGAAAGCAGUAGGAGACUUCAAUAUCAAUAACAGUGUUUCAUUUGCCACAUGUUUGUAUUGUGGGUAUUCAAAAAUAUUGAAAUACUUGAUGUUGGCUUUAUCAAUAAGAAGCGGAAUUCAUCAUU
rnacentral:misc_RNA from 1 species